CAGUAGCCGCGGUAAUACGAAGGGUGCAAGCGUUACUCGGAAUUACUGGGCGUAAAGCGUGCGUAGGUGGUGGUUUAAGUCCGUUGUGAAAGCCCUGGGCUCAACCUGGGAAUUGCAGUGGAUACUGGGUCACUAGAGUGUGGUAGAGGAUAGUGGAAUUUCCGGUGUAGCAGUAAAAUGCGUAGAGAUCGGAAGGAACAUCUGUGGCGAAGGCGACUAUCUGGGCCAACACUGACACUGAGGCACGAAAGCGUGGGGAGCAAACAGGAUUAGAUACCCGGGUAGUCCCUGUCUCUUAUAC
rnacentral:rRNA from 1 species